UGCAGUCGAACGGUGAUAGCAAUAUCAUAGUGGCGCACGGGUGCGUAACACGUAUGCAACCUACCUUAUACUGAGGGAUAGCCUUUCGAAAGGGAGAUUAAUACCUCAUAACACAUUGAACUGGCAUCAGUCUAUUGUUAAAGAUUUAUUGGUAUAAGAUGGGCAUGCGUCCAAUUAGUUAGUUGGCGAGGUAACGGCUCACCAAGACGAUGAUUGGUAGGGGAACUGAGAGGUUAAUCCCCCACACUGGCACUGAGAUACGGGCCAGACUCCUACGGGAGGCAGCAGUAGGGAAUAUUGGGCAAUGGAGGCAACUCUGACCCAGCCAUGCCGCGUGCAGGAAGAAGGCGUUAUGCGUUGUAAACUGCUUUUAUAUAGGAAGAAAUAGACCUUGCGAGGUAAGUUGACGGUACUAUAUGAAUAAGCACCGGCUAACUCCGUGCCAGCAGCCGCGGUAAUACGGAGGGUGCAAGCGUUGUCCGGAUUUAUUGGGUUUAAAGGGUGCGUAGGCGGUUUAUUAAGUCAGUGGUGAAAGACGGUCGCUCAACGAUUGCAGUGCCAUUGAUACUGGUAGACUUGAGUGGGAUUGAGGUAGCUGGAAUGGAUAGUGUAGCGGUGAAAUGCAUAGAUAUUAUCCAGAACACCAAUUGCGUAGGCAAGUUACUAAGUCUCAACUGACGCUGAGGCACGAAAGU
rnacentral:rRNA from 1 species